rnacentral:rRNA from 1 species
GACGAACUUUGGCGGCGUGCUUAACACAUGCAAGUCGAACGGAAAGGCCCUGCUUUUGUGGGGUGCUCGAGUGGCGAACGGGUGAGUAACACGUGAGUAGCCUGCCCUUGACUUUGGGAUAACUUCAGGAAACUGGGGCUAAUACCGGAUAGGAGCUCCUGCUGCAUGGUGGGGGUUGGAAAGUUUCGGCGGUUGGGGAUGGACUCGCGGCUUAUCAGCUUGUUGGUGGGGUAGUGGCUUACCAAGGCUUUGACGGGUAGCCGGCCUGAGAGGGUGACCGGCCACAUUGGGACUGAGAUACGGCCCAGACUCCUACGGGAGGCAGCAGUGGGGAAUAUUGCACAAUGGGCGGAAGCCUGAUGCAGCAACGCCGCGUGCGGGAUGACGGCCUUCGGGUUGUAAACCGCUUUCGCCUGUGACGAAGCGUGAGUGACGGUAAUGGGUAAAGAAGCACCGGCUAACUACGUGCCAGCAGCCGCGGUGAUACGUAGGGUGCGAGCGUUGUCCGGAUUUAUUGGGCGUAAAGGGCUCGUAGGUGGUUGAUCGCGUCGGAAGUGUAAUCUUGGGGCUUAACCCUGAGCGUGCUUUCGAUACGGGUUGACUUGAGGAAGGUAGGGGAGAAUGGAAUUCCUGGUGGAGCGGUGGAAUGCGCAGAUAUCAGGAGGAACACCAGUGGCGAAGGCGGUUCUCUGGGCCUUUCCUGACGCUGAGGAGCGAAAGCGUGGGGAGCGAACAGGCUUAGAUACCCUGGUAGUCCACGCUGUAAACGGUGGGUACUAGGUGUGGGGUCCAUUCCACGGGUUCCGUGCCGUAGCUAACGCUUUAAGUACCCCGCCUGGGGAGUACGGCCGCAAGGCUAAAACUCAAAGGAAUUGACGGGGCCCCGCACAAGCGGCGGAGCAUGCGGAUUAAUUCGAUGCAACGCGUAGAACCUUACCUGGGUUUGACAUGGAUCGGGAGUGCUCAGAGAUGGGUGUGCCUCUUUUGGGGUCGGUUCACAGGUGGUGCAUGGCUGUCGUCAGCUCGUGUCGUGAGAUGUUGGGUUAAGUCCCGCAACGAGCGCAACCCUUGUUCACUGUUGCCAGCACGUUAUGGUGGGGACUCAGUGGAGACCGCCGGGGUCAACUCGGAGGAAGGUGGGGAUGACGUCAAGUCAUCAUGCCCCUUAUGUCCAGGGCUUCACGCAUGCUACAAUGGCUGGUACAGAGAGUGGCGAGCCUGUGAGGGUGAGCGAAUCUCGGAAAGCCGGUCUCAGUUCGGAUUGGGGUCUGCAACUCGACCUCAUGAAGUCGGAGUCGCUAGUAAUCGCAGAUCAGCAACGCUGCGGUGAAUACGUUCCCGGGGCU